rnacentral:rRNA from 1 species
UACAGAGGGUGCGAGCGUUGUUCGGAUUUACUGGGCGUAAAGCGCACGUAGGCGGAUUGGUCAGUUAGGGGUGAAAUCCUGGAGCUCAACUCCAGAACUGCCUUUAAUACUGCCAGUCUCGAGUCCGGAAGAGGUAAGUGGAACUCCUAGUGUAGAGGUGGAAUUCGUAGAUAUUAGGAAGAACACCAGUGGCGAAGGCGGCUUACUGGUCCGGUACUGACGCUGAGGUGCGAAAGCGUGGGGAGCAAACAGG